ACGGGAGGCAGCAGUGGGGAAUAUUGGACAAUGGGCGCAAGCCUGAUCCAGCGACGCCGCGUGAGUGAAGAAGUAUUUCGGUAUGUAAAGCUCUAUCAGCAGGGAAGAUAAUGACGGUACCUGACUAAGAAGCCCCGGCUAACUACGUGCCAGCAGCCGCGGUAAUACGUAGGGGGCAAGCGUUAUCCGGAUUUACUGGGUGUAAAGGGAGCGUAGACGGUUCUGCAAGUCUGAAGUGAAAGCCCGGGGCUCAACUCCGGGACUGCUUUGGAAACUGUUAAGCUAGAGUGCAGGAGAGGUAAGUGGAAUUCCUAGUGUAGCGGUGAAAUGCGUAGGUAUUAGGAGGAACACCAGUGGCGAAGGCGGCUUACUGGACUGUAACUGACGUUGAGGCUCGAAAGCGUGGGGAGCAAACAGGAUUAGAUACCCUGGUA
rnacentral:rRNA from 1 species